rnacentral:rRNA from 1 species
UACGUAGGGGGCAAGCGUUGUCCGGAAUCAUUGGGCGUAAAGAGCGCGUAGGCGGUCCGGUAAGUCGGUUGUGAAAACUGGGGGCUCAACCCUCAGAGGCCGAUCGAUACUGUCGGGCUAGAGUCCGGAAGAGGCGAGUGGAAUUCCUGGUGUAGCGGUGAAAUGCGCAGAUAUCGGGAAGAACACCGAUGGCGAAAGCACUCUGCUGGGCCGAAACUGACACUGAGAGACGAAAGCUAGGGGAGCGAAUGGG